rnacentral:lncRNA from 1 species
UGGGCUUUAGUGUGGGCUUUUUGGCCCAACACAAAUAACCUUGGGCUACCAUUUCUGGUUUUCAACCUAUGGGCUUUUAAAGAAGGAGAUAAUAUUUAUGAGACUUUGAGUAUCCCAUAACAAUCGUCUCCCGCUGGAUCAUCCAAAUCGAAUGCAGCAGUACUAGCACUGGAAGAGGAUGAUGAUGAGGCUUUGGAUUUGCCUUGAGAAGAAGCUGUCUUAGACAACUGUUUUAUAAGUUGUAGGAAAUCUUCUUCGGUUUGGGCUGCAGCAAGCUU